rnacentral:lncRNA from 1 species
CCUACUAUUUUACUUUUUAACUUUUUUAUCUUAAAUAUUAUGCCUCAGUCAAAUAAGUUACCAUAAAAAUGGAACAUAUAUAUAAAAAGAGUGUCACAUAUUAUGAAAUAACAGGAAUAGUUAAAAAGAGAAGGGACCCAGAAUUGGAGAAGCUCCCAAGAGAGUGUCAAUCCCCCUGUACUUGCAAGAUUUACAGUAAACAACUCCUCUUACACCAACAAACUUCCUGGUUGGAAGAGGAGAUGGUGGUUUAACUGGUGGAUGAGCAGGCGGAGUUGGUGGUUUACUAGGCGAAUGAGCAGGUGGAGUUGGUGGUUUAACAGGCGGAGACGGUGGUUUGACUGGUGGUGAAGAGUGAGAGGGAGAAGAAGCUGGGGCUUGGCCGUGCUUGUGGUGGUGGUGGUGGUGGUGUUGGCCGCCAUUAUGAGGCUUAGGGGUUUCAACGGGUGGGAAGCUAACAAGGGAAU